rnacentral:precursor_RNA from 10 species
AAAGGGAACUCUCACAUCAGCCUAGUUACUAGGCAGUGUAGUUAGCUGAUUGCCAAAAGUACCAAUCACUAGCCACACAGCCAGGUAAAAAGGCUUGGAAGAUAUCUCAAUGGAG